AAGUCGUAACAAGGUUUCCGUAGGUGAACCUGCGGAAGGAUCAUUACAAAUCUUAUGGAGUGGUAAUACUCGUUAUUACCACUACUAAUGUUCGGUGCCGCAAGGCGCUGUGACACUUGCUUGAUUGAGUUUGACAGAGUAAAUUCUUACGUUAAGAAAUGAAUGACAACUUUUAACAAUGGAUCUCUUGGCUCUU
rnacentral:misc_RNA from 1 species